GACGAACGCUGGCGGCGUGCUUAACACAUGCAAGUCGAACGGAAAGGCCCUGCUUUUGUGGGGUGCUCGAGUGGCGAACGGGUGAGUAACACGUGAGUAACCUGCCCUUGACUUUGGGAUAACUUCAGGAAACUGGGGCUAAUACCGGAUAGGAGCUCCUGCUGCAUGGUGGGGGUUGGAAAGUUUCGGCGGUUGGGGAUGGACUCGCGGCUUAUCGGCUUGUUGGUGGGGUAGUGGCUUACCAAGGCUUUGACGGGUAGCCGGCCAGAGAGGGUGACCGGCCACAUUGGGACUGGGAUACGGCCCAGACUCCUACGGGAGGCAGCAGUGGGGAAUAUUGCACAAUGGGCGGAAGCCUGAUGCAGCAACGCCGCGUGCGGGAUGACGGCCUUCGGGUUGUAAACCGCUUUCGCCUGUGACGAAGCGUGAGUGACGGUAAUGGGUAAAGAAGCACCGGCUAACUACGUG
rnacentral:rRNA from 1 species